rnacentral:rRNA from 1 species
UACGUAGGGUGCAAGCGUUGUUCGGAAUUACUGGGCGUAAAGAGUGUGUAGGCGGUGUUCCAAGUCUGGUGUGAAAUCUCCCGGCUUAACUGGGAGGGUGCGCCGGAAACUGGAAUGCUCGAGGGUGGGAGAGGUAAGCGGAAUUCCUGGUGUAGCGGUGAAAUGCGCAGAUAUCAGGAGGAACACCGAUGGCGAAGGCAGGUCUCUGGGCCAUAACUGACGCUGAGAAGCGAAAGCAUGGGGAGCGAACAGG